GCAGCUGAGACUCCUGCUCUGUGUAACAUCUUUCUGCAGCCUGGUGGCGCCCCUUAUCAAAAGCGAUGCUGAUGAUACUGAUUCUUUUCAAACGUUCUCGAUAGCAUGGCAGCACCGACGCACGCUGAAUGUCAGGCACUGGCUGUGAGUAGAAGUGGACAUCACAGUCCCCAGGAUCCUAGGAAACUGCAUCACGUGGCUCCAGGCCCUGAGAGAUCCCCACCAUCAACAGAGCCAAGAAGCUGUGCCGCCUGCAGUUCUCGCGUUCGGCCGGCAGAGGGCGCGAAUGUCAGCUCUGCGGGAGGCGGACGACAACCGUCAGGACAGGGGCUGAAUCCUGUGGGCAGCGACACCAGCUGGGAGGUUACAGAAUGCCCGGACAGAGUCCCAGGUGUCCUUUCAGACG
ensembl:lncRNA